rnacentral:rRNA from 1 species
UGGGCAACCUGCCCCCGACCCUGGGAUAACCCCGGGAAACCGGAGCUAAUACCGGAUACUCUCCUCUGACCACCUGGUCGGAUGAGGAAAGGUCCGCCGGUCGGGGAUGGGCCCGCGGCCUAUCAGCUUGUUGGUGAGGUAACGGCUCACCAAGGCUUCGACGGGUAGCCGGCCUGAGAGGGCGACCGGCCACACUGGGACUGAGAUACGGCCCAGACUCCUACGGGAGGCA